CAGUAGCCGCGGGAAUACGUAGGGUGCAAGCGUUAAUCGGAAUUACUGGGCGUAAAGCGUGCGCAGGCGGUUCUAUAAGACAGAUGUGAAAUCCCCGGGCUCAACCUGGGAACUGCAUUUGUGACUGCAGAGCUGGAGUGCGGCAGAGGGGGAUGGAAUUCCGCGUGUAGCAGUGAAAUGCGUAGAUAUGCGGAGGAACACCGAUGGCGAAGGCAAUCCCCUGGGCCUGCACUGACGCUCAUGCACGAAAGCGUGGGGAGCAAACAGGAUUAGAUACCCGCGUAGUCCCUGUCUCUUAUAC
rnacentral:rRNA from 1 species